AUUUUUAAAAGCCACAAACCUUAGAUUUGCUCCGAUCAGAGAGGAACCGGGUGUGAUGGGCGUCUCAGAUCAGAGAGGAGCCGGGUGUGCUGGGCAUCUGACUCAUGCUCUGUGGCCUCCAUCCAGUCCGUCCUCACAAAAUGCACAGCGGGAAAGAAGGAAUGGACUUAGUUUUCUUCUGGGGAGAAAUACGCUUCAGUAGAAGCACUGGAGGGCUUGGAGGAAGGCUCAGUGUGCUGUGUCUGCUUCUGGGAUGGUCCUGGGUUUGGUGCAUGAGGUGACCCCAUCUCACCUGCCCCAGACAAACACUAUAGCAAGGCUGCGCUGGCUACAGGACGGAAAUGCUGGGUAAGCUAAAGACAUGAAGGAGAACACUGACCCCAUGGGCAUCAGCUCACCCCUGACCUCAACAGGAGACGGCAGCUGCUUCUCAGAGUCCACACCCACCUGCAGCUGCGGCUCACUGCAGUAUUUGAACAACUAUGAUACUCUCCCUCAAAGUACUCACUUUUGUAUUAGAAUGCAAUCAGAAAUUCCAGUUUUAGGCUGUUGGGCUUCCUUCUUCAUUUUAUUUUGUUAGUUUUUUGCAUGCCCAGGCAUGCAUUAGAAAUUUAAUUUUGUCCUGAAGAUGAAGAUGAAGGUUACUGUCAUUAUUGCCACUCAGAAAUAUGCUCUAAAGAUAGUAAUUUUCGAAUGGAAUGGCAUCCUCUGUGGGCAGCAGCCUGCUAGAUGAGUCUGUGUCUGUUUCUGAAAUAUAUGUUCUGACAGCCAUUCUGUUCAUUCUAUCAAAUUAUCAACUUGUUAAAUACCUUUUGUGAUAAUAGAUUAUAAUGGUGACAGGAGCAACAAUUCAGUGAACUUUGACUGAUAAACGGAUGAUAAUCACAAUGAUCAAAGAAAUCAUUUUCUCACCUGCAAAAUUAUUAAAGAGGCUACCCAGUGAAAACAAGCUGAGUUAUGCUACUGACUUCAGCAAAUGUGGUCUCUGUAUGAAAGCCUCAAGGACCUUCUUUUCCAACCCUUGACAUUUUAGUUUUGUUAUAAGGACUUUGUUAUAUUAAUAGCCGUUUUCGGAAAGAGAGAAACAAUGUGUGAAGUAGAUGUAAACAAUAUGUAGAUAAGCAGAAAGUAGCCCUCCGACAAUGACAUUCGGGCGUCCCUCUCUUGAGCUAUCUCCAUCCUAGAGUGAGUCAAACAGCCCAGCCAGUGUGACCUGAAUCUUGAUGGUUUUUCUGCCCUUAUAUGGAAUGUAUCUUGAGGAAAAGCACAAAGAACCCACCAGCACAGACGAUGUGCAAACUCUAUAACUGGCUUAGAAUUAUGGGAACCUUAGGAACGUCUGUUUUCCCGUGCAAGUUGUCUAACUUGCAGAAACAUUUGUAAUUUGCCUACUGCCAUAUUAAAAUCUAGAUAAGGUCCCUCAUUUACCAGAAGACUUCGUUGCUUUCUUAUCUGCUUUUGAGACAUCUUGUAAUAAGAGUUGUGUUUUUUUUUUUUUUCCUUUUGGGUCUGUAGUGCUUUUUCAAUCAAUGUAGCUGACGCCAGAUAAUUUCAGCACAAGGGAUAUAUCACACUGGCCCUGUAUGAACAUUGACCUAAUUUAGUUAAUCUUAGAUUAUUUACCCAGAAUAUCUCGUCUGUGAAUAUUUGAAAGUAUAUAACCAUUGUAGUCCUUAGGGGAAAGAAGAAAAACAGAAAGCAAAUGAGAGUCUCUCUGGCUUUAUAAGGUGAUGAUGCAAAUGAGGCUGUGUAAUACAUAUACUAAAUGAACAGACCAUCGUACACAUCCAAAGUCAGAGUGCUAGAGUUUCCAAUGGGAUGUUGAUGGCUCUUUAACAGGAUAUGUGCUAAUUUUUUAGUUUCUUCUUUGGCAAUUUUUUUCAAAAACAGGUAGUUUGAUUAAGGAAUAAAGUAUUUCUACUAGUUCCUUACUUAAAUUUUAACAAGAAUGAUAUUGCCCAAAGAGUUAAUACCAAAAUUAACCAUCUCAAUUAGUUUACCCACAAAACUUUGCUCAUCCUUGGUAUUGCACAACAUUUUCUUUUUCCUCUAGUUAAAUUUAAUUUAGCUAAAAAUAGAACAGUAAGUGGACAACAUACUAAUAAUGAGCAACAGGACAGUUCCUUUUAUGAUAAAAACAAAAUUUUAAUUGUAUUCAAAAUUAUCUAUGAGACAUUUCCAUUAUUGGCAAAGUAGACUUAACUUCACAUUUCUGUUGCAUUUUUAAAAUUAAUUAUACAACUCUCAAGAUAAAUGCAUAAAAUUAUAACGUGUGUGUAUGAAGCCUGCAUGCAGAAUUUUUGUGUUGCAGUUAUACUGAAUUUAUUGAAAACAUGCUUGGAGCAAUCUCUUUUCACUUGCUAUCAUCAAAAGGCAAAAUAUAAUUUCUAAUUUUUAUAACUUCACUUCUAGAAAUCUGUGGCUAAUAUGUGAAAUAUUUUUAAAUACCUUCUUUAAAAUAAAACGUUUGCAAAUAUGGUUUCUUGCAACUUCCGUGACCAAAGUAUGACUUCACAGAUUUUUGAAGCUGUGAGUCAAUUAUAGGAAUAAAAAGGAAUUCCACUCUUGAUGAGUAGAAGCGUUUUCCCAGAUGUAAAUUCUUGUUCAAGCUUUCUGUUUGUUUGCUUUGUUUUGGGUUGUGGUGAUGGUAGGUGGUCGCAGUGAGAGGUGUGUGUGGAAAAAUUAAAGCAGAAAAGUUCCAAAAUGCUGACCCGAGAUUUGAAAGUAACAGGAAAGCGGGCUUUCGAACUGUGCAGACAUCACACAGUCGCCUUAGUCCUGCACAUCUCCUCAUUAUCAAACACUUGGAGCAAGAGUCUUCAGAAGUUACUGCAGAGUUCAUGCAAGAUUGCUGACUGAGCUCACAAUACAGUAAUUAGACGGAAUUAAAGUUAAAAUGGAAAGAAAAUGAAUCGAGAAGUAAAAUACAAGGUGUAAUAUCCCCCCCCCCCCCACCCCCAACCUGCCCCAUUGAAAGAAAAGGAGCUUUGAGAAUAGAUUGUGUUACAAAAGCAACUUCAGAACAGCUCUGAGCCGGCCUCCCGCGAGGCCACGUGCUCAGCCUUCUCCACCAUUUUUGCUUUUCCUUUGACAUUUCUGAAGGAUCUGUGAGAAGGUCUCACACUGCCCAGCAGGAAGAUAACACACAAAUAGCCAUGUAGGUAAUUGCAAAGUUCCUAAGAGCUACAUUUUUAGAAAGCAAAAAGAAGGUGAAAUUUCAAUAAUAUAUUUUACUUAACCUAAGGUAUCUAAAAUAUAAUCAUUUCAACCUGUGAUCAAUAUUUUAAGUGAUGACUGAGGAGUUUCACAUGCUUUUGAGUACUGCAUCUGGAAAAUCUCGUGUGUGUUUUACACUGAGCAGCACGCCUCACCACAGAGGGGCCCUGCUCUCCCUGCUCAGUAGCCACUGGGGGCCAGUGGCCACCACCCCGGACAACACAAGUCCAAGGGCAGCCGAGGAAAAUGCACUGAGAAAAGCCUGAACCUGGAUGCUGAAAACAAACAGCGAGAACCCAGAGCACCUCAGCAGCCUCAGGCAGGAGCCUGCUCCGAAGGUGCAGGAGAAAAGGAACUGUUGACUUUGAGAAAUAAAAUGUCCUCAUUCUCCAUUUUCUGCUAUAGUUGUUGAAUUUCUAUAAGGAGAUUAUAGUCAAUAAGGAAAUUAUGUCCCUAAGCUAGUAACCUUCCAGCUAUGUGACUUUCCCUCCCAUGAGAAGUCCUGCCACCAAGAGCCACCUUGGUGUUCAGCCAGCCUUCGACACUGUGGAGAUGCAAGGGGAUUGCAGUGCGUGUGUGUGUGUGUGUGUGUGUGCAAGUGUGCAACUGUGUCAUAUGUAAGAGUGAAUGCCUGUGAGUCUGUUGCAUCUGUGAAUCGUGUGAAUCUGUGAAUCGCAUGUAAGAAUGAGUGUGUGACUUGGAUGUGUAUGUGGGAGAUUGAUUCUGGGAAUUUGUGUGAGAAUUUGUGUGAGUGUGUAGGAAUGUGUGUGACACGUGUGCAAGAGAAUGCAUGUGUGAGAAGGGGAGGAAGGCCAGAACAAGCCAACCGUCACUGGCUCCGGCGCUGGCCAGAACCACUGGGCACCCUGGAGGGUUCUUUGUGCAGGAAAGAGGUCCAACCUGUGCCCAGAGCUUCUGUGGACCAUCAGCUUCACCCCCCAAUGAUGACCUCUGCAUCCCCUCAACAGACAGAUUUUGAAACCCACAAUUAGCCAGGCACUGUCCCCUUGCCCCUGGGGAGACAUCAGUGACCCGGACUGGCCAUCAGUGACCCAGGCUGGCAAAAACUCCCUCUCUAUGCAACUUCCUGGGAUUCCCCUCCCACAGCCACAUCUCCAAAAAGCCGGCCUCUAGCUUGGAGCCCUGUCCCUAGCCUUUGGCAGCCUUGUCUGCAGGUGGGGUGGCAGGAGCUGGGGCCAGAGGAUGGGGGCAAGGCUGCCCAGGCCCAGCCAGGGGCUGGCACACAUUUACCAAGAGUCCCCCGCUUACCCC
rnacentral:lncRNA from 1 species